rnacentral:rRNA from 1 species
UGGGGAAUAUUGGACAAUGGACGAAAGUCUGAUCCAGCAAUGCCGCGUGAAUGAUGAAGGCCUUAGGGUUGUAAAGUUCUUUAAGUGGGGAAGAUAAUGACGGUACCCACAGAAUAAGCACCGGCUAACUUCGUGCCAGCAGCCGCGGUAAUACGAAGGGUGCAAGCGUUGUUCGGAAUUACUGGGCGUAAAGCGCGCGUAGGCGGUUUGAUAAGUUGGAAGUGAAAUCCCGAGGCUUAACUUCGGAAUUGCUUUCAAAACUGUCAAGCUAGAGUAUGGCAGGGGACAGUGGAAUUCCUAGUGUAGAGGUGAAAUUCGUAGAUAUUAGGAGGAACACCAGUGGCGAAAGCGACUGUCUGGACCAUUACUGACGCUGAGGCGCGAAAGCGUGGGGAGCAAACAGG